rnacentral:rRNA from 1 species
GAUGAACGCUAGCUACAGGCUUAACACAUGCAAGUCGCGGGGCAUCAUGGGGGUUGCUUGCAACCCCUGAUGGCGACCGGCGCACGGUGAGUAACGCGUGUCCAACCUGCCCUUCACCACGGGAUAACCCGGCGAAAGUCGGACUAAUACCGUAUGUUGUCCAUUGACGGCAUCCGAUUUGGACGAAAGGCUUAGCGGUGAGGGAUGGGGAUGCGUCCGAUUAGCUCGACGGCGGGGUAACGGCCCACCGUGGCGACGAUCGGUAGGGGUUCUGAGAGGAAGGUCCCCCACACUGGAACUGAGACACGGUCCAGACUCUACGGGGGCAGCAGUGAGGAAUAUUGGUCAAUGGGCGGAAGCCUGAACCAGCCAAGUAGCGUGCAGGAUGACGGCCCUAUGGGUUGUAAACUGCUUUUAUGCGGGGAUAAAGGGGCUCACGUGUGGGCUUUUGCAGGUACCGCAUGAAUAAGGCG